CGGCCUGAGGUCGGACGAGGCUACCCGCUGAAUUUAAGCAUAUUACUAAGCGGAGGAAAAGAAACUAACGAGGAUUCCCUCAGUAACGGCGAGUGAAGCGGGACGAGCCCAGCGCCGAAUCCGGCCGCUUAUGGAGCGGACGGAAUUGAGGCGUAUGGAAUUCGCUUCUAGCGCGGACCGGCUGCCCACGUACUUCUGAUCGAGGCUGCAUCCCAUAGCGGGAGUCAGGCCCUUGGCGGCGGGUGGCCCGGGCUCUCGGAGUCUUUCCGGAGUCGGGUUGUUUGGGAAUGCAGCCCAAAGCGGGUGGGAAACUCCAUCUAAGGCUUAAUACGGCCACGAGACCGAUAGCGAAC
rnacentral:ncRNA from 1 species